GCCCCUCAUUAUCUCUUUCUCCCCUUCUCCUGGAAAUCCUCUCUCAACGCCAUGCGCCCGCGCCGCUGCACACACCGCCCCCAGCCUCCAUCCGCGAGGGUCUCCGCGCCGGGUCACCUGCGCCUUCCUCCGCCGCCGCCGCACACACUGCCUGUAGCCUCCCCUUACUCGCCUCCGCACCGGGCCGCCGCCACCAUUUCCCUCCUCAUCCGCCGCCGCCACCUCCCUCCUCCGUCGUCGCCACCUCUCUCAUCCGCGUGAGCCGCCGCCACCUCCCUCUGUGAAACGAGGCCGCCGUUCCCCUCGCACUGCCGCAACUCCUCUCCCCGUCGUCCUCGAGCCUCGAGGUUUCCCAGCGACGGCGAUGGCGGGUCUCGAAGAUGAACCUGCCUCCCCACCUCCUCGCCACGCGCCGUCUCACCACGAAAGGUCACCUCCACACCAAACCCUUCUUUUCUUCCCCUUUCACCGUGAAACCGCCCGCUGCCUCUAACCCGAUGAAUCGAGGACGUGGUGUCGCUGCCGGAGGUGGAGCCCAUGUGCCUCCUCGAUGCUGGUAUCUCGGUCGCCUGCACAUGCCCUCCCUACCAAAUGGUACUCUGUUUUUUAGAUUCGGUGGCUCUGUUUCUUGUGUAUAACCAUUGUUACAAGUAGCUUUACCUUAUUAAUAUGGUUUUAAAAUCAUAGAGCAUGUUGCACUUGAUACUUAUAACUAUAGACCAGGUUCAUAUUUUAUUGAUGUUUUAUAUGUUUUCAUUGCCUCUUUUUGUAUCAUCUAGGGUAAAAUGCAGUUAGCUCAAAUGUUCCAAAACUGAAUAAACUAAGGCAAAGGUCACUGAUUAUCGUGGUGGUGUCACGGCAGAUGCCAUAGGAUGGUUUAUGUUGGGGCCGAUGGAUGAAGGAGGAACCGGAGGAGGGAGGACGUAAUGAGAAACACGCACAAACACGCAAGCACACACGGAUUUACCCAGAUUCGGAGCCCUCUUGCAGAGGUGGAUGAGAAGAGGGUUUGCAUAUAUUGAGAUUACUUCUAGAGACGACAUUUAGUAUAACGAUUAGAACAAGUUUCUACUGUUUUGGGGUAAUGGAAUGAUUUCCUUCAUUUGUCAAACUGCUGGCAGAACAAGCCUCUUUUAGUUAGAAGUGCAAAAUUUGUCUUAGUUUACACUUAUAUUUUCAUUAGUUUGUUGGCUUUAUAGAAUUCUUCUGAUGCAGACAGCAAAUUCUAACAUAUUAUACUCCGUAUGACCAUUUUUUUUUGGGACGUAACUCUGAUGCAUGCACUAAA